AACUGAAGAGUUUGAUCAUGGCUCAGAUUGAACGCUGGCGGCAGGCUUAACACAUGCAAGUCGAGCGGAGAGAGGUAGCUUGCUACUGAUCUUAGCGGCGGACGGGUGAGUAAUGCUUAGGAAUCUGCCUAUUAGUGGGGGACAACAUUUCGAAAGGAAUGCUAAUACCGCAUACGUCCUACGGGAGAAAGCAGGGGAUCUUCGGACCUUGCGCUAAUAGAUGAGCCUAAGUCGGAUUAGCUAGUUGGUGGGGUAAAGGCCUACCAAGGCGACGAUCUGUAGCGGGUCUGAGAGGAUGAUCCGCCACACUGGGACUGAGACACGGCCCAGACUCCUACGGGAGGCAGCAGUGGGGAAUAUUGGACAAUGGGCGCAAGCCUGAUCCAGCCAUGCCGCGUGUGUGAAGAAG
rnacentral:rRNA from 1 species